rnacentral:rRNA from 1 species
AGACGUCUACAUUAGAUACCCGUGUAGUCCAGGGUGUAAACGCUGCAGACUUGGUGUUGGGAACCCUUCGGGGGUGCUCAGUGCCGGAGAGAAGUUGUUAAGUCUGCUACUUGGGGAGUACGUCCGCAAGGAUGAAACUUAAAGGAAUUGGCGGGGGAGCACCGCAACGGGAGGAGCGUGCGGUUUAAUUGGAUUCAACGCCGAAAGCUCACCAGCAGCGACUGUUACAUGAAAGUCAGGUUGAUGACCUUACUAGAUUUUCAG